rnacentral:rRNA from 1 species
UGGGGAAUAUUGCACAAUGGGCGAAAGCCUGAUGCAGCAACGCCGCGUGAGUGAUGAAGGCCUUCGGGUUGUAAAGCUCUGUCUUUUGGGACGAUAAUGACGGUACCAAAGGAGGAAGCCACGGCUAACUACGUGCCAGCAGCCGCGGUAAUACGUAGGUGGCAAGCGUUGUCCGGAUUUACUGGGCGUAAAGGAUGCGUAGGCGGAUUUUUAAGUGAGAUGUGAAAACCCUAAGCUUAACUUGGGGACUGCAUUUCAUACUGGAAAAUCUAGAGUGCGGGAGAGGAGAAUGGAAUUCCUAGUGUAGCGGUGAAAUGCGUAGAGAUUAGGAAGAACACCAGUGGCGAAGGCGAUUCUCUGGACCGUAACUGACGCUGAGGCAUGAAAAGCGUGGGUAGCAAACAGGAUUAGAUACCCUGGUAGUCCACGCCGUAAACGAUGAGUACUAGGUGUAGGAGGUAUCGACCCCUUCUGUGCCGCAGUUAACACAAUAAGUACUCCGCCUGGGAAGUACGAUCGCAAGAUU